AUUCUGCCCAAGCGGGGAAGAAUGAGAAGCUUCGACCAAGGUUCGACUUGAGCGCCAGCGAGAGAGCGUUGCCGCAGGCAACGACCCGAGGGGCGAAGCGCGCAGCGCUGAGUAAUCCUUCCCCCACCACCA
rnacentral:sRNA from 1 species